UGAAGAUAACCGAACACAAGCAAAUUCGGCUCCGAAGAAGGCAGUUUACAAGACUGGAUGACUUUGUUAGAGCAUACCAAAAGAUGCAUGAUGCACUGCUCCUUGAAUAUGGAGACAUGGAAAGAAGCAGGAAGAAAUCCUUUCAAGUGGAAGAGGAAGUAUGGCGAAAAACUCAGAAGCGUACAGGACUGUACGUGUCCCCUUUAGUGCUGGACCCGUCAUUGAAAAAACAAAGAGAGAACUUUUCACAGCAACAGCCACAAAUAGCUGAGGAAAAAAUACAGUUAUCAUCCAAACACAGACCACAUCUGACUUCACUGAGCAUCAGCAGGAGGACACAAAGAGAAGUACCACUCAAAGAACCAAUGAUGCUCAAUCACAGCUAACUGCAUUGUGGGGCAAAAAUAACACAGAAGUGGUCGUUUCUGUGGUCCUUUCUCAAUUUAGAAAGAAAUUAUUAGUCCACCACAGUGAGUUACUAUCACUUUGGCCUCAUAACUGGCUCACAG